UGUCCAGGGAUGGGAAUCGAACCCACAACCUUCUGCUUACCGGGCAGGUGCCAUGUCCACUAGGCUAUCUUGGAC